UACGUAGGGUGCGAGCGUUGUCCGGAUUUAUUGGGCGUAAAGAGCUCGUAGGCGGUUUGUCGCGUCGUUCGUGAAAACUCCACGCUUAACGUGGAGCGUGCGGGCGAUACGGGCAGACUUGAGUUCGGUAGGGGAGACUGGAAUUCCUGGUGUAGCGGUGAAAUGCGCAGAUAUCAGGAGGAACACCGGUGGCGAAGGCGGGUCUCUGGGCCGAUACUGACGCUGAGGAGCGAAAGCGUGGGGAGCGAACAGG
rnacentral:rRNA from 1 species